rnacentral:rRNA from 1 species
AACGAACGCUGGCGGCAUGCCUAACACAUGCAAGUCGAGCGCCCCAGCAAUGGGGAGCGGCAGACGGGUGAGUAACGCGUGGGUAUCUACCUAGUGGUGCGGAAUAGCCCAGGGAAACUUGGAGUAAUACCGCAUAAGCCCGAAAGGGGAAAGAUUUAUCGCCAUUAGAUGAGCCCGCGUUGGAUUAGCUAGUUGGUGGGGUAACGGCCCACCAAGGCGACGAUCCAUAGCUGGUCUGAGAGGAUGAUCAGCCACACUGGGACUGAGACACGGCCCAGACUCCUACGGGAGGCAGCAGGUGGGAAUAUUGGACAAUGGCGCAAGCCUGAUCCAGCCAUGCCGCGUGAGUGACGAAGGUCUUCGGAUUGUAAAGCUCUUUUGGCGGGGACGAUAAUGACGGUACCCGCAGAAUAAGCCCCGGCUAACUUCGUGCCAGCAGCCGCG